rnacentral:rRNA from 1 species
UACGGGGGGGGCAAGCGUUGUUCGAAAUUACUGGGCGUAAAGGGCUCGUAGGUGGCCAACUAAGUCGGACGUGAAAUCCCUCGGCUUAACCGGGGAACUGCAUCCGAUACUGGAUGGCUUGAGUUCGGGAGAGGGAUGCGGAAUUCCAGGUGUAGCGGUGAAAUGCGUAGAUAUCUGGAGGAACACCGGUGGCGAAGGCGGCAUCCUGGACCGACACUGACGCUGAGGAGCGAAAGCCAGGGGAGCAAACGGG